CGUCACUCCGCAUCUUGCGCAAUAUGGCGGCUGCGCAUUGUUAAGGCUCCGUGCACCGGAGUCUUGGCCAAGCAGGACCGGAGAGCUGUGAGGUAGAUUAGGCAGGUCCAUGUAACAGUUGUUGGUUCUGCGGAUCCCUGUAAUUCAUUGAAGAACUCUCAGAUGCGAUGACAAUGGCCGAUAAUCAGACACUCGAGAUGUCAGGAAUACCAGAGAUCAGUAACUCAGGUAACUGAUAAUCUAUCUCAGCUGAUCCUGUGCAUCAGCAGAUGGUACAUUGUUGUGCAGUUAUCUGUUAAAGGACCAGUCAACACAUUACAUUUGCAUAAUCAACAAAUGCAAGAUAACAAGACAAUGUGAUAGCACUUAGUCUGAACUUCAAAUGAGUAUUAUUAUUAUUUAUUUAUUUAUAAAGCGCCAACAGAUUCCGCAGCGCUGUUCAUAGGUAACAAAGAUAAAAGGACAGUACAAUAUGAGACACCAGACAUAAUUUAACAAACAAAUACAGGGGGAAUUGGGAGCCCUGUUCUAAAUGAGUAGGAGGGUGAGAAACAGGAGGUGGGGAUUGCAAAGGUGGGAAUGAUGUUAGUGUGAAGUUAGAUGAGGGCAACUAUUAGGCAAGUGGAAUUCAUUAGUUACUGAUUUGAUUAUAGGCUUCCCUGAACAAGAAGGUCUUUAGGGAGCGUUUAAGGGAGGAGAGGUCUUUAGGGAGCGUUUAAGGGAGGAGAGGUUGGGGGGAAAGUCUGACAGCACGAGGAAGUGUGUUCCAGAGGGUUGGUGCCGCACAAGAGAAGUCCUGUAGUCUAGCAUGAGAGGAGGUGAUGGUAGAAGAGGCAAGCAGAAGAUCGUUGUUGGAUCUUAGGGGUCGGGCUGGAGUAUAUUUGUUGAUGAGUGAGGACAGGUAUGGGGGGGCUGCAUUAUUAAGGGCUUUGUAGGUCAAAGUGAGAAUUUUGAAUUUAAUUCUGCUGUGAAUGGGGAGCCAGUGAAGGGACUCACAGAGGGGUGCGGCAGAUACAGAGCGUCAGGAGAGGGGGAUUAGCCUAGCAGAGGCAUUUAGGAUGGAUUGAAGGGGGGAGAGGCGGGAGAGAGGAAGGCCAGUUAGUAGGUUGUUAUAGUCAAGCCGGGAAAUUACUAGGGAAUGGAUUAGCUGUUUAGUAGUUUCAGCACUCAGAAAAGGACGAAUUUUGGAGAUAUUGCGUAGGUGGUUGCGACAGGAUGAAGAGAGUGAUUGGAUGCGGGGUAUGAAGGACAGAUUGGAGUCAAGUGUAACUCCAAGGCAGCGGACUUGGGGUGAUGGGGAGAUAGUGGUGUCACCAACAGUGAUAGUAAAGUUAGAAACUGGAGUAGAAUUAGUUGGGGGGAUUAGAAGAAGCUCAGUAUUGGACAUGUUGAUUUUUAGGUGGUGAGAGGCCAUCCAGGAAGAAAUGCCAGAUAAGCAGUCGCUGAUGUGGGAAAGGACAGAAGGAGAGAGUGCAGGGGUGGAUAGGUAGAUCUGAGUAUCAUCAGCAUAGAGGUGAUAGUUGAAGCCAUAGCUACUAAUAAGUUUACCCAGUGAGGAAGUAUAAAUAGAGAAGAGUAGAGGGCCUAGAACAGAGCCUUGAGGUACUCCAACAGACAGAGGCAGUGGAGAGGAUGAGUCACCAGCAAAUGAGACAGAAAAGGACCUAUUAGAGAGAUAAGAGUGGAUCCAGGAGAGGGCAAUGUCACAGAGCCCAAGGGAGCGGAGAGUCCGUAAGAGUAGGGGAUGGUCAACAGUGUCAAAGGCAGCAGACAGGUCAAGUAAGAUAAGUAUAGAAUAGUGGCCAUAGUUUUUAGCAGAAAGAAGAUCGUUAGUAACCUUGGUGAGGGCAGUCUCAGUUGAGUGUUGGGGACGGAAGCCAGAUUGCAGGGGGUCAAGCAAUGAGUUGGAGGAUAGGAAGUGUGUUAGGCGAUUGAAAACUAGUUUUUCCAGGACUUUAGAAGCUAGCGGACGUAGUGAUAUGGGGCGGUAGUUUGCAGGAGAAUCGGGGUUGAGGGAGGGUUUUUUGAGGAUGGGGGUGACCUUUGCAUGUUUGAAGGAUGAUGGAAAUGAACCAGAAGUAAGGGAUCGGUUGAAUAUGUGAGUAAGAGCUGGGGUGAGGGUAGAGGACAGAGAGGGUAUUAGAUGUGAAGGGAUAGGGUCAAGGGGGCAUGUAGUGAGGUGUGAGGAAGAUAUUAGGGAACUCACUUCAUUCUCAGUGGUUGGGGGGAAGGUACUGAGAGUGUUGGAGGGGGUGACCGGGGGGCACAGAUGAAAGGUUGCAGUCUUGUGGUGGGAUGUUGCUUCUGAUGGUAAGUGUUUUGUUGAAAAAGUAAUCUGCCAAGUCUUGAGCACUAAAGUCAGAUGAGGGGGGUGGUGCAGGUGGAUAGAGGAGAGUGUUGAAAGUGGAGAAGAGACGUUUAGGGUUUGAGGAGUGAGAGAAGAGAAGUAGUUUUGCUUGGCUAAGUGAAGGGCAGAGGAGUAAGAAUAAAGAAUGAACUUAUAGUGUAGGAAAUCGUGUUCAGAGCGGGAUUUCCUCCAGGCACGUUCAGCAGCACGGGAGCAUUUUUGUAGAUAGCGUGUUUGCUGAGAGUGCCAGGGCUGGAGCUGACGACGUGGGGUUUUGCGUAUUUGUGGAGGAGCAAGGGUGUCGAGUGCAGAGGAGAGAGUAUUGUUAUAGUGGUUUGUAGCAACGUCAGGGCAGGAUACCAUAGAAGUAUGGGGAAGGCGUUUUUGAAUAAGGUUAGAAAGUUGGAGAGGAUCCACAGUGUGCAUCCCUCAGAGCCAGCUCUCAGCUGUAUAUAGUAGUAAAAUUAGGGUUGGAAUGAUUUGAUUCAAGGCAGCUGUGUUACAAGUAGACUAGUUAGGUAGACUGGAGUUACACACGUGUAAAUUAGAUGGGGGCUAAACAAAUGGCUGGGGAUGCACACAGAUAUUGUACAAGGCAGCUGUGUUACAAGUAGACUAGUUAGGUAGACUGGAGUUACACACGUGUAAAUUAGAUGGGGGGGGCUAAACAAAUGGCUGGGGAUGCACACAGAUAUUGUACAAGGCAGCUGUGUUACAAGUAGACUAGUUAGGUAGACUGGAGUUACACACGUGUAAAUUAGAUGGGGGCUAAACAAAUGGCUGGGGAUGCACACAGAUAUUGUACAAGGCAGCUGUGUUACAAGUAGACUAGUUAGGUAGACUGGAGUUACACACGUGUAAAUUAGAUGGGGGCUAAACAAAUGGCUGGGGAUGCACACAGAUAUUGUACAAGGCAGCUGUGUUACAAGUAGACUAGUUAGGUAGACUGGAGUUACACACGUGUAAAUUAGAUGGGGGCUAAACAAAUGGCUGGGGGAUGCACACAGAUAUUGUACAAGGCAGCUGUGUUACAAGUAGACUAGUUAGGUAGACUGGAGUUACACACGUGUAAAUUAGAUGGGGGCUAAACAAAUGGCUGGGGAUGCACACAGAUAUUGUACAAGGCAGCUGUGUUACAAGUAGACUAGUUAGGUAGACUGGAGUUACACACGUGUAAAUUAGAUGGGGGGGGCUAAACAAAUGGCUGGGGAUGCACACAGAUAUUGUACAAGGCAGCUGUGUUACAAGUAGACUAGUUAGGUAGACUGGAGUUACACACGUGUAAAUUAGAUGGGGGGCUAAACAAAUGGCUGGGGAUGCACACAGAUAUUGUACAAGGCAGCUGUGUUACAAGUAGACUAGUUAGGUAGACUGGAGUUACACACGUGUAAAUUAGAUGGGGGGCUAAACAAAUGGCUGGGGGAUGCACACAGA